UACAGAGGUCCCAAGCGUUGUUCGGAUUCACUGGGCGUAAAGGGUGCGUAGGCGGUCGGGUAAGUCUGAUGUGAAAUCUCACAGCUUAACUGUGAAACUGCAUUGGAUACUAUUCGGCUUGAGAGUUGGAGGGGGGACUGGAAUUCUUGGUGUAGCAGUGAAAUGCGUAGAUAUCAAGAGGAACACCAGUGGCGAAGGCGAGUCCCUGGACAACUUCUGACGCUGAGGUGACGAAAGCGUGGGGAGCAAACAGG
rnacentral:rRNA from 1 species